rnacentral:rRNA from 1 species
GAUCCUGGCUACAGGACGAACGCUGGCGGCACGCUUAACACAUGCAAGUCGAACGGAGUUUAUUGGAGCUUGCUUUGAUAAACUUAGUGGCGGACGGGUGAGUAACACGUGAGCAAUCUGCCUUUCAGAGGGGGAUAGCAGUUGGAAACGACUGAUAAUACCGCAUAACAUAUCGGGACCGCAUGAUACUGAUAUCAAAGAUUUAUCGCUGAAAGAUGAGCUCGCGUCUGAUUAGGUAGUUGGUGAGGUAACGGCCCACCAAGCCGACGAUCAGUAGCCGGACUGAGAGGUUGAACGGCCACAUUGGGACUGAGACACGGCCCAGACUCCUACGGGAGGCAGCAGUGGGGAAUAUUGCACAAUGGGCGCAAGCCUGAUGCAGCGAUGCCGCGUGAGGGAAGAAGGUUUUAGGAUUGUAAACCUCUGUCUUAUGGGACGAUAAUGACGGUACCAUAGGAGGAAGCUCCGGCUAACUACGUGCC